AAUUCGGCUUAGAGUUUGAUCCUGGCUCAGAGCGAACGCUGGCGGCAGGCUUAACACAUGCAAGUCGAGCGGGCAUCCUUGUGGUGUCAGCGGCAGACGGGUGAGUAACGCGUGGGAACGGUGCCCUUCGGUUCGGAAUAACUCAGGGAAACUUGAGCUAAUACCGGAUACGCCCUUAUGGGGAAAGGUUUACUGCCGAAGGAUCGGCCCGCGUCUGAUUAGCUAGUUGGUGAGGUUACGGCUCACCAAGGCGACGAUCAGUAGCUGGUCUGAGAGGAUGAUCAGCCACACUGGGACUGAGACACGGCCCAGACUCCUACGGGAGGCAGCAGUGGGGAAUAUUGGACAAUGGGGGCAACCCUGAUCCAGCCAUGCCGCGUGAGUGAUGACGGCCUUAGGGUUGUAAAGCUCUUUUCUCCGGGACGAUAAUGA
rnacentral:rRNA from 1 species